rnacentral:rRNA from 1 species
AUUGAACGCUGGCGGCAUGCUUUACACAUGCAAGUCGAGCGGCAGCGGGGGUGCUUGCACCUGCCGGCGAGUGGCGAACGGGUGAGUAAUACAUCGGAACGUAUCCUUAAGUGGGGAAUAACGCAUCGAAAGAUGUGCUAAUACCGCAUAGUCUUUUACAAGUAAAGCAGGGGAUCGAAAGACCUUGCGCUUGAGGAGCGGCCGAUGUCUGAUUAGCUAGUUGGUGGGGUAAAGGCCUACCAAGGCGACGAUCAGUAGUUGGUCUGAGAGGACGACCAACCACACUGGGACUGAGACACGGCCCAGACUCCUACGGGAGGCAGCAGUGGGGAAUUUUGGACAAUGGGCGAAAGCCUGAUCCAGCCAUGCCGCGUGAGUGAAGAAGGCCUGGUUGUAA